UGAAGAAUUUGAAGGGCCGCAGUAUAUUGACUGUGCAAAGGUAGCAUAAUCAUUAGUCUUUUAAUUAAGGGCUUGUAUGAAUGGUUGGACGAGAUAGAUUCUGUUUUUUAUUAAUAAAUUGAAUUUAAAUUUUAAGUGAAAAGGCUUAAAUAAUUUUAAGGGACGAGAAGACCCUAUAGAGUUUAAUAUUUGUAUUUUAAAUUAAGUUUAAAAAUAAUUUUUAGUUCUUGAAAAAAAAUAUUUAAUUGGGGAGAUUAAAAGAUAAAAGGAACUCUUUUUUGAAGUUAAUAAUUUUAUUAGAUUGAUGAUCCAUAAAUUAUGAUUAAAAGAUUAAAUUACCUUAGGGAUAACAGCAUAAUUCUCUUUUAGAGUUCAUAUCGAAAUGAGAGAUUAUGACCUCGAUGUUGGAUUAAGAUAAAAUCUGGGCGUAGAAGUUAGAAAUUAAGU
rnacentral:rRNA from 1 species